AUGCGGCUUGAAUUCAUUGAGAGCGGGCAUUGCAUCGCUGGCCGAUCUGAUUCGUUCUUACCCUUGCAGUCUGACGGUGAGAGAUCAUCAGCGCGUGCACGAGCGAUCCGCCUCGUGGUCUAUGACGGGUGGUGCAGGGGGUGGGUUUGCCCGGGCGCGCGUCUCUUUCCUCUCCCAUCUCUUUCCCUCCCUGGCCCACCCACGUGCUCCCCUCCACACACCCAUCCUCUCUGCGACUCCUCUCUCUUCUCCUUCUCUCGCCUCGCAGCGCCCGGCACGCCGCCGCCCUCGCCUCGCUGCGCCCGGCUCGCAGCCGCCCUCGCCUCGCCGCGCACAGCGCCGGUGGAAAUGGCGCACACGCCGCCCGCACCCUGCUCUUCCUGCUCGCCGCUGCCGCUCCUCCACGCUAGACACGGGCGAGCUCACGGUGCGGGGCCAGGGAGCGGGGACGAGCUCCAGGGCCGGGUCGGCCGCGUGCUGCAGGGGGCGGCUCGAAGGACCGGGCACGUCGGCCUCCAGCCGCCCGCUGCAGGCCACCUACGCGCUGAGCCGCGGCCGGCGCACAGUCGGCGCGGACAGGGACGAGGGGCUCCUCGACAUCUUCUGCACCCGCACUUCGAGUGCAACAUCCGCAACGCGUCCGCGGAUGCCAGCGAUGCCAAGGGGCGCAACGGCAAGGCCGACGCCAACGGCACGUCGCCGCUGGCCGUGUGGAAGCAGUCGCCGGUCCCGUCCCCGCGCUCCAGCGACGGCCGUGAAGGACGGGGGAGCAGCUGCGGCGGGGACAGGGGCGUGGCUUCCGGACCCGAGGUGGAUGGAGCAGAGGCGACGCCGCAUCUGCCGGACGGGGGAGCAGCUGCGGCACGGCGGCCAAACGGGGGAACGCUAGCCCCUCGAGGGGGAGGGAUGAGCGUGGCGGCAGAUGCGGCCGAGGAGGGCCGGGCGGCGUGGCGUGGCUGCUAG
rnacentral:rRNA from 1 species